rnacentral:rRNA from 1 species
UACGUAGGUGGCGAGCGUUGUCCGGAUUUACUGGGCGUAAAGGGCGUGCAGGCGGUUUGUUAAGUGCAGGGUGAAAGCUCCCGGCUCAACUGGGAGAGGUCCUUGCAUACUGGCGAACUCGAGGGAGGCAGAGGAAAGUGGAAUUCCCGGUGUAGUGGUGAUAUGCGUAGAUAUCAGGAGGAACACCAAUUGCGAAGGCAGCUCGCUGGGACGUUACUGACGCUGAGACGCGAAAGCGUGGGGAGCAAACAGG